CCUACGGGAGGCAGCAGUGGGGAAUAUUGGACAAUGGGCGCAAGCCUGAUCCAGCAAUGCCGCGUGUGUGAAGAAGGCCUGCGGGUUGUAAAGCACUUUCAGUGGGGAGGAAGGCCUUGUUGUGAAUAACAGCAAGGAUUGACGUUACCUANNNAAGAAGCACCGGCUAANUCUGUGCCAGCAGCCGCCGUAAU
rnacentral:rRNA from 1 species